AACGAACGCUAGCGGCAGGCCUAACACAUGCAAGUCGAACGGACAUCGAAGUUGGUUCGCCAAUGGAGAUGUUAGUGGCAGACGGGUGAGGAAUACAUAGGAAUCUACCUAGUAGUAUGGAAUAGUCACUGGAAACGGUGAGUAAUACCACAUACGCCCUGCGGGGGAAAGAUUUAUCGCUAUUAGAUGAGCCUAUGCUGGAUUAGCUAGUUGGUGGGGUAAAUGCCUACCAAGGCGACGAUCCAUAGCUGGCCUGAGAGGGUGACCAGCCACACUGGAACUGAGAUACGGUCCAGACUCCUACGGGAGGCAGCAGUGGGGAAUAUUGGGCAAUGGGCGCAAGCCUGACCCAGCCAUGCCGCAUGAGUGAAGAAGGCCUUCGGGUUGUAAAGCUCUUUCAGCGGGGAAGAUUAUGACGGUACCCGCAGAAGAAGUCCUGGCUAACUCCGUGCCAGCCGCCGCAGUAA
rnacentral:rRNA from 1 species